UUUAGAUCUAUCACAAGGUCUUCUUCAAAGAGGGCUCUGAAAGAGAUCAUGGGACACUGCUUUCUAACAUGAACAGGCUGAGGACUAUUCUUUGUGCAGAUGAACUCCAGCCACCAUGAAUUAAGGCUUGGUAUUUUUUUUACUCGUGUACUGAGCAGCAAUGCGAAACAAGGCCCACAUACUGCAUUCAAUGCAUAUAAAGAGUUUCUGCAGAAGGACAGGGCUGCUCUCUUCUUGGCCACUGCGAUGGAGCAUUUUG